CCUACGGGAGGCAGCAGUGAGGAAUAUUGGACAAUGGGCGCAAGCCUGAUCCAGCCAUGCCGCGUGCAGGAAGAAGCAUCUAUGGUGUGUAAACUGCUUUUGUACAGGAAGAAACACUCCCUCGUGAGGGAGCUUGACGGUACUGUAAGAAUAAGGACCGGCUAACUCCGUGCCAGCAGCCGCGGUAAUACGGAGGGUCCGAGCGUUAUCCGGAAUCAUUGGGUUUAAAGGGUCCGUAGGCGGUUUAAUAAGUCAGUGGUGAAAUCUGGUCGCUCAACGAUCAAACGGCCAUUGAUACUGUUAGACUUGAAUUAUAAGGAAGUAACUAGAAUAUGUAGUGUAGCGGUGAAAUGCUUAGAUAUUACAUGGAAUACCAAUUGCGAAGGCAGGUUACUACUUAUGGAUUGACGCUGAUGGACGAAGGCGUGGGGAGCGAACAGGAUUAGAUACCCUGGUAGUCCACGCCGUAAACGAUGGAUACUAGCUGUUCGGAGCAAUCUGAGUGGCUAAGCGAAAGUGAUAAGUAUCCACCUGGGGAGUACGUUCGCAAGAAUUGAAACUUCAAAUGAAUUGACGG
rnacentral:rRNA from 1 species